UUAGCACCGCUAGGUCUUUUAAAUAAUGCCAUAUAAAAAGCUUUAUUUACAUGUUUUCUGUUUCCCUCUUCUGCUCCAGUGUGUCCUUCCUGGAAGACCGCUCGGUACUCCAGGCCUUCGCAGCGGCAAGCCUCGGGUCCACCUGUGUCCCACGCGGGGCACAGGGGCAAAGAGCGAGUAUGGCGUGAGGAGCGGUGGAAUUGCACAUCCCAGCAGAGGAGCUCGGGUUCUGCAGAGUUCAACUUCGCCCUGAUGAGCAGCACAAGAGCCGGACGUCAAGCAGUGGUUUCGACCCUGCGUUGCCACAGGGCAGGGCUGCGCACACUGCAGAGCUGCAGCCCCAGGCUGGGCCGCGUGGUCACAGGGCGGAGCUGGUGCGCAUGCACUGGGCAGCCCCGGGCAGCAGCCGCAGGCAGGCGGACGAGGCGCCCUUGCCGUGCUCGGGCGCGCGUCCCCGGGGUGCCGCGGGGUCCUCCAGUUCGUGCAGCGACGUCAGCGCGAGCCCCCUGGAGUCUGGGAGCACCACUCGUUUCUGGGCCUCUGUGGCCCAGGAGGUCGCAAGAGGCAGGAGCGCGGAACUGUGCAGGAUGCAGCAUAUGGCACCUGAACAGGGACCCAGGGAGUGAGGAAACACAUCAGAUAACAGGUAAGAAGAGACUUCUAGCUGUGUGC
rnacentral:lncRNA from 1 species